rnacentral:rRNA from 1 species
UUUUUCCUACGGGGGGCAGCAGUGGGGAAUAUUGGGCAAUGGGCGCAAGCCUGACCCAGCAACGCCGCGUGAAGGAAGAAGGCCCUCGGGUUGUAAACUUCUUUUAUCAAGGACGAAACAAAUGACGGUACUUGAUGAAUAAGCCACGGCUAACUACGUGCCAGCAGCCGCGGUAAUACGUAGGUGGCAAGCGUUAUCCGGAUUUACUGGGUGUAAAGGGCGUGUAGGCGGGGCUGACAAGUCAGAUGUGAAAUCCCGCGGCUCAACCGCGGAACUGCAUUUGAAACUGUCAGUCUUGAGUACCG